rnacentral:rRNA from 1 species
GGUUUGAUCAUGGCUCAGGAUAAACGCUGGCGGCGUGCCUAAUACAUGUAAGUCGAACGAGGGACUUUUGUAGCAAUACGGAAGUUUCCUAGUGGCGAACGGGUGAGUAACGCGUUGGUGACCUGCCCCGAAGAGGGGAAUAACAGCUCGAAAGGGCUGCUAAUGCCCCAUGUGGUCACUGGGAUUAGAUGCCCGGUGACUAAAGGCGAAAGUCGCUUCGGGAGGGACCUGCGUCCCAUCAGCUAGUUGGUAGGGUAACGGCCUACCAAGGCAAUGACGGGUAGGAGGCCUGAGAGGGUGACCCCCCACAAUGGCACUGAAAACGGGCCAUACACCUACGGGUGGCAGCAGUAGGGAAUAUUGGUUAAUGUGGGAAACCGCGAACCAGCAACGCCGCGUGUGCGAUGAAGACCUUCGGGUUGUAAAGCACUUUUUGAAGGGAUGAGGAAGGACAGUACCUUCAGAAUAAGCCUCGGCUAACUACGUGCCAGCAGCCGCGGUAAAACGUAGGAGGCGAGCGUUAUCCGGAUUUACUGGGCGUAAAGCGCGUGCAGGUGGUUCGGAAAGUUGGAUGUGAAAGCUCCUGGCUUAACUGGGAGAGGUCGUUCAAUACUUCCGGACUAGAGGAUGGGAGAGGGAGGUGGAAUUCCGUGUGUAGUGGUGAAAUGCGUAGAUAUACGGAGGAACACCAGUGGCGAAAGCGGCCUCCUGGCCCAUUUCUGACACUCAGAUGCGAAAGCUAGGGUAGCAAACGGGAUUAGAGACCCCGGUAGUCUUAGCAGUAAACGAUGUGGACUUGGCGUCGGUGGGGUAAAAUCCAUCGGUGUCGGAGCUAACGCGGUAAGUCCACCGCCUGGGGACUACGGCCGCAAGGUUAAA